CUGGGCAGCUGGUGAUCGUUGGU
rnacentral:piRNA from 1 species